ACUGGUUUCCUUAUGUUCUUCUGGGACUUGUUUUUCAAUCUGUUCUUGAUGGAAAGUGUGUUGAUAAUCCUCACAACUGCAGGUCUCAUCAGAGUGCGUCUAAGAAGAAACCUGACACAUUGUGCAGAAAACUGUUUGACUGGAACAACUACAAAGAAAUGAUCUGCUUUCAUUUAAGUAAUUAUAUUCAUCUAUUGUGCAUAGAGAGACAUAGAUUGAGAGAGACACAGGAAGAGAGAAAGAGUGGAUUUUGGAGCUGUAAAGCAUUUUGAGAUCGCAGUGUGUGAUGCUCCCCUCCCUGUGUCCAUGUGUUCUCAUUGUUCAACACUGGCCUAUGAACAGUCUGGCUCUGUUGCCCAAGUUGGAGUGCAAUGUUGUGAUCUUGGCUCACUGCAACUUUCAACUAUGCAGUUCAAGCAAUUCUCCUGCCUCAGCCUCCUGAGUAGCUGGGACUACAGGCACCUUUUCACCACGCCUGGUUAA
rnacentral:lncRNA from 1 species